CGAAAUUGAAGAAGAUCACUUUGAUUUUUUUAACUUUAGUACGGUAACGUCGGUAACAGAAAAUGACAGAACAGAUACAUGUCAUCUACGUCUGCUGAGAUUUCAGAAGUAGUGCAUACGUUGCUAAAAUGCUGAGUGUGAAGAAUGGCAAGCGGGGCUGACUGCUGACCUAAGGCCUUUGGCAGCAGUCUAAGGUAUAUAACUAUUACCAAUACGUAUAGAAAGAGGAGUGUGCGACACGGAGCAGAAAGACAGUGAAGAAGACUCCUCAACGAUCCGUGCGGCCACCCUCAAAUCCACACUCACGGCUUGUCAAAAUCUACCCGGAUCGGUCGAGUCUCCGAGAUCUCGUUAAUAAAAACAUAAAUCCAUCAUCGGUAUGGCGAACGAAAGUACCGCCACUGCUCGGUGAAGAGGAGACAUUACAAUAUUGACCAUAUUGUCAAUCAUUGGAGAUCUACUCAAUAACGAGGUUCAUUCAAUGUUAAUUUUAUAGAAAUAAUUACCUACUUGACAGGUUUUUUAAUAUUUAAAUUAUAUUAAUAAAAUCGA